CCUACGGGUGGCAGCAGUGGGGAAUAUUGCGCAAUGGGCGAAAGCCUGACGCAGCGACGCCGCGUGAGGGAUGAAGGUCUUCGGAUCGUAAACCUCUGUCAGCAGGGAAGAACGGUCACUGUGCUAAUCAGCAGUGAAUUGACGGUACCUGCAAAGGAAGCACCGGCUAACUCCGUGCCAGCAGCCGCGGUAAUACGGAGGGUGCGAGCGUUAAUCGGAAUUACUGGGCGUAAAGCGCUCGUAGGCGGUAUGGCAAGUCAAGGGUGAAAUCCCCGCGCUCAACGUGGGAACUGCCGUUGAAAGUGGGAGACUGGAGUGUGUGAGAGGGAAGUGGAAUUCCAGGUGUAGGAGUGAAAUGCGUAGAUAUCGGGAGGAACAUCAGUGGCGAAGGCGACUAUCUGGAACAUAACUGACGCUGAGGAGCGAAAGCGUGGGUAGCAAACAGGAUUAGAUACCCUAGUAGUC
rnacentral:rRNA from 1 species